CUGCUGGCUUAGCCUUUGGCCAAGUUGGCAGCUGGACGAGGACGCUCAGAGCCCAGCUCUCGAGAGUUCAAGUAUCCGACAGUUCCCCACUGCUCCCAGGAGCGGUUACCCGGGCACUCUGUGCCCCUCAUUCCUGUUUGGGCCAAGGCCGAGGACCUGCGAGUAGGGCUCAGUUGCCUGGAGCCCCUUCAGCCCAUCGCCCAGUUCACUUUGCUUGUGGGAUCUCCCCGUUGCUCCUGCCCCUGGACUGAGUGGCAGGCCAUCCUACAAACACCCGGACACUCGACAUCAGUGGUGUCAAGACAACUCUAAGAAGGUUUUCCGUGAUCCUGCAAGACCUGUGUUCCAUCCUGGUGAUUCUCUCUUCAAUUUCACUGCACAGGUACCACAGUAAGCCAGUGCUGUGUGCUCCGAAUUCCAGGGCAUCCCCCAGCUCAGCCACUACACUCAGCACAAGGACUCUGUGGGGCCCAGGAGCAGGUAGUCACCCCUUUGGGCUCCUCAACACCCGGCUGUCCCCAGACUUGUGUCCAGGGAAGAUAGUGUUGAGGGCCCUCAAGGAGAGCAGGGCAGGGAUGCCUGAGCAGGACAAGGACCCCAGAGUCCAAGAAAAUCCUGAUGAUCACAGAACGGUCCCCGAGGUCACCGGGGAUGCACGGUCUGCAUUUUGGCCCCUGCGGGACAAUGGAGGCCUCUCUCCCUUUGUGCCCAGGCCCGGGCCUCUGCAGACAGACCUCCAUGCCCAGAGCUCAGAAAUCAGAUAUAACCAGACAUCCCAGACAUCCUGGACGAGCUCGAGCACCAAACGAAAUGCUAUCUCCAGCUCCUACAGCUCCACGGGAGGCUUGCCGGGGCUAAAGCAGAGGAGGGGACCAGCCUCAUCCCGCUGCCAGCUGACCCUCAGUUACUCAAAGACAGUGAGUGAGGACAGGCCUCAGGCUGUCUCUUCGGGUCACACACGGUGUGAAAAGGCGGCAGAUACAGCACCAGGGCAGACACUCGCCCCCAGGGGUGGCUCCCCCAGAUCCCAGGCCUCUAGGCCCCGUAGACGCAAGAUUCCCCUGCUGCCAAGCAGGCGAGGGGAGCCUUUGAUGAUGCCACCUCCCUUAGAGCUGGGGUACCGGGUCACGGCUGAAGACCUGCACCUGGAAAAACAGGCGGCAUUCCAGCGCAUCAACAGUGCACUGCACGUUGAGGACAAGGCCAUCUCGGACUGCAGACCCUCACGGCCUUCCCACACUUUGUCCUCACUUGCAACAGGGGCUUCGGGUGGGCCUCCCGUUUCUAAAGCACCCACUAUGGAUGCACAGCAGGACAGACCCAAGUCCCAAGACUGCCUGGGCCUAGUGGCCCCCCUAGCAUCUGCUGCAGAGGUCUCCUCUACAGCUCCCGUGUCUGGGAAGAAGCAGAGACCACCAGGACCCCUGUUCUCCUCCUCAGAUCCCCUUCCUGCCACCUCUUCCCACUCCCGGGACUCAGCCCAGGUCACCUCGAUGAUUCCUGCCCCCUUCACAGCUGCAAGCAGGGAUGCCGGCAUGAGAAGAACAAGGUCGGCCCCUGCAGCUGCCGCAGCAGCCCCUCCCCCCUCCACAUUGAACCCCACGUCGGGGUCACUACUCAAUGCAGUGGAUGGAGGCCCCUCACAUUUCUUGGCCUCAGCCACAGCUGCAGCACGUGCCCAGAGGUCAGAAGUGAGAUACAACCAGAGAUCCCAGAUCUCCCGGACCAGAUCCUGCCUCAAACGAAAUGCCAGCUCCAGCUCCCACAGCUCUACGGAAGGCCUCCCGGAACUAAAGCGGAGGAGGGGGCCAGCCUCAUCCCACUGCCAGCUGGCCCACAGUUCCUCAAAGACAGUGAGUGAGGACGGACCUCAGGCUGUCUCUUCGGGUCACACCCGCUGUGAAAAGAGGGCAGAUACAGCACCAGGGCAGACACUCGCCCCCAGGGGUGGCUCCCCCAGAUCCCAGGCCUCUAGGCCCCACAUCAACAGUGCACUGCACGUUGAGGACAAGGCCAUCUCGGACUGCCGACCCUCGCGGCCUUCCCACACUUUGUCCUCACUUGCAACAGGGGCUUCGCGUGGGCCUCCCGUUUCUAAAGCACCCACUAUGGAUGCACAGCAGGACAGACCCAAGUCCCAAGACUGCCUGGGCCUACUGGCCCCCCUAGCAUCUGCUGCAGAGCUCCCCUCUACAGCUCCCGUGUCUGGGAAGAAACACAGACCACCAGGACCCCUGUUCUCCUCCUCAGAUCCCCUUCCUGCCACCUCUUCCCACUCCCGGGACUCAGCCCAGGUCACCUCGAUGAUUCCUGCCCCCUUCACAGCUGCAAGCAGGGAUGCCGGCAUGAGAAGAACAAGGUCGGCUCCUGCAGCUGCCGCAGCAGCCCCUCCCCCCUCCACAUUGAACCCCACGUCGGGGUCACUACUCAAUGCAGUGGAUGGAGGCCCCUCACAUUUCUUGGCCUCAGCCACAGCUGCAGCACGUGCCCGGAGGUCACAAGUGAGAUAUAACCAGAGAUCCCAGACCUCCCGAACCAGAUACUGCCUCAAACGAAAUGCCAGCUCCAGCUCCCACAGCUCUACGGAAGGCCUCCAGGAACUAAAGCGGAGGAGGGGGCCAGCCUCAUCACACUGCCAGCUGGCCCUCAGUUCCUCAAACACAGUGAGUGAGGACGGACCUCAGGCUGUCUCUUCGCGUCACACCCGCUGUGAAAAGGCAGAUACAGCACCAGGGCAGACACUCGCCCCCAGGGGUGGCUCCCCCAGAUCCCAGGCCUCUAGGCCCCGCAUCAACAGUGCACUGCACGUUGAGGACAAGGCCACCUCGGACUGCAGACCCUCACGGCCUUCCCACACUUUGUCCUCACUUGCAACAGGGGCUUCGGGUGGGCCUCCCGUUUCUAAAGCACCCACUAUGGAUGCACAGCCGGACAAACUCAAGUCCCAAGACUGCCUGGGCCUAGUGGCCGCCCUAGCAUCUGCUACAGAGGUCUCCUCUACAGCUCCCAUGUCUGGGAAGAAGCACAGACCACCAGGACCCCUGUUCUCCUCCUCAGAUCCCCUUCCUGCCACCUCUUCCCACUCCCAGGACUCAGCCCAGGUCACCUCGAUGAUUCCUGCCCCCUUCACAGCUGCAAGCAGGGAUGCCAGCAUGAGAAGAACAAGGCCUGGCACCUCGGCUCCUGCAGCUGCCGCAGCAGCCCCUCCCCCCUCCACAUUGAACCCCACGUCGGGGUCACUACUCAAUGCAGUGGAUGAAGGCCCCUCACAUUUCUUGGCCUCAGCCACAGCUGCAGCACGUGCCCGGAGGUCACAAGUGAGAUAUAACCAGAGAUCCCAGACCUCCCGGACCAGAUCCUGCCUCAAACGAAAUGCCAGCUCCAGCUCCCACAGCUCUACGGAAGGCCUCCAGGAACUAAAGCGGAGGAGGGGGCCAGCCUCAUCCCACUGCCAGCUGGCCCUCAGUUCCUCAAACACAGUGAGUGAGGACGGACCUCAGGCUGUCUCUUCGCGUGACACCCGCUGUGAAAAGGCAGAUACAGCACCAGGGCAGACACUCGCCCCCAGGGGUGGCUCCCCCAGAUCCCAGGCCUCUAGGCCCCGCAUCAACAGUGCACUGCACGUUGAGGACAAGGCCAUCUCGGACUGCAGACCCUCACGGCCUUCCCACACUUUGUCCUCACUUGCAACAGGGGCUUCGGGUGGGCCUCCCGUUUCUAAAGCACCCACUAUGGAUGCACAGCAGGACAGACCCAAGUCCCAAGACUGCCUGGGCCUAGUGGCCCCCCUAGCAUCUGCUGCAGAGGUCUCCUCUACAGCUCCCGUGUCUGGGAAGAAGCACAGACCACCAGGACCCCUGUUCUCCUCCUCAGAUCCCCUUCCGGCCACCUCUUCCCACUCCGGGGACUCAGCCCAGGACACCUCGCUGAUUCCUGCCCCCUUCACACCUGCAAGCAGGGAUGCCGGCGUGAGAAGAAUGUUUUGUGUUCGAAAUUGUUUGAGGGGUUUGGGUUUAUUUUUGUUGGUUUUUUCUCUUUUUUUUUUGCUUACAUGGGCAUCCUUCAGCUUUUAAUAAUCUGAAAAACUCUAUUUACCCAUUGUCAAUGUGUAUAAAUUAAUCUGAGUCAAUUUUAUACAAUAAAAGGUGAACUUUUAUGCAUGAAACAAUAAUUUAACAAAAAAUGUACCUGAAGAAGAAUGUUCAUUACAAAUAUAGGAAACAUAAAUAUUACCAAAUAUUGGCAAGCACUAAAAUGUUCAGAAAUAUAAGUCUAUUACAGUUAUAGCUCUCUCAAGCAAAAAAACAGCAGAGAAAAACUUAGUUUACCUUAGGGGCUAUUUAUUUACUUAGGGAUUUGUUAAAAGGUCGAAUGGGGUCACACAGAAUACUAAGAAGAGCUGUUCACCCAGGCCUCACUAAGAACUCUUCUUCAUUCAGUAGCUGUAUAGUAACAUGACAACUGCUCCUACGACCCAAAGAGGAACUACAGCAACUACUCUUUAGCAUCUGUUGCUCCCAACUCUGCUUUGCAAUUAUAUGACUCAAGCAUUCUGGCUCCGUUAACUAUUACUGCUGUUACUCCCAAUUAAAUUCCCUCUAAAAAAUAAAAAUUUUUAAAGCUC